GCUCCAAUAGCGUAUAUUAAAGUUGUUGCAGUUAAAAAGCUCGUAGUUGGAUUUCUGGGGAGGAGUUCUUUGGCCGCCGACUGGCGAUUGGAGGCUCCUUCCAUCCUUCUGUUAACGCUUCUCGGCAUUCACUUGCUGGUGGCGGGCUCAGAUAUUUUACCUUGAGAAAAUUAGAGUGUUUCAGGCAGCUAGGCCGGAAU
rnacentral:rRNA from 1 species